AACGAACGCUGGCGGCAUGCCUAACACAUGCAAGUCGAACGAGACCUUCGGGUCUAGUGGCGCACGGGUGCGUAACGCGUGGGAACCUUCCCUUAUGUUCGGAAUAACUCCCCGAAAGGGGUGCUAAUACCGGAUAAUGUCUUCGGACCAAAGAUUUAUCGCCUUUGGAUGGGCCCGCGUUGGAUUAGCUAGUUGGUAGGGUAAAAGCCUACCAAGGCGACGAUCCAUAGCUGGUCUGAGAGGAUGAUCAGCCACACUGGGACUGAGACACGGCCCAGACUCCUACGGGAGGCAGCAGAGGGGAAUAUUGGAAAAUGGGCGAAAGCAUGAUCCAGCAAUGCCGCGUGAGUGAUGAAGGCCUUAGGGUUGUAAAGCUCUUUUACCCGGGAUGAUAAUGACAGUACCGGGAGAAUAAGCUCCGGCUAACUCCGUG
rnacentral:rRNA from 1 species